GGCGGGACACGUGGUAUCCUGUCUGAAUAUGGGGGGACCAUCCUCCAAGGCUAAAUACUCCUGACUGACCGAUAGUGAACCAGUACCGUGAGGGAAAGGCGAAAAGAACCCCGGCGAGGGGAGUGAAAAAGAACCUGAAACCGUGUACGUACAAGCAGUGGGAGCACCCUUUGGGGUGUGACUGCGUACCUUUUGUAUAAUGGGUCAGCGACUUAUAUUCUGUAGCAAGGUUAACCGAAUAGGGGAGCCGGAGGGAAACCGAGUCUUAAUUGGGCGUUAAGUUGCAGGGUAUAGACCCGAAACCCGGUGAUCUAGCCAUGGGCAGGUUGAAGGUUGGGUAACACUAACUGGAGGACCGAACCGACUAAUGUUGAAAAAUUAGCGGAUGACCUGUGGCUGGGGGUGAAAGGCCAAUCAAACCGGGAGAUAGCUGGUUCUCCCCGAAAGCUAUUUAGGUAGCGCCUCGUGAAUUCAUCUCCGGGGGUAGAGCACUGUUUCGGCUAGGGGGCCAUCCCGGCUUACCAACCCGAUGCAAACUGCGAAUACCGGAGAAUGUUAUCACGGGAGACACACGGCGGGUGCUAACGUCCGUCGUGAAGAGGGAAACAACCCAGACCGCCAGCUAAGGUCCCAAAGUCAUGGUUAAGUGGGAAACGAUGUGGGAAGGCCCAGACAGCCAGGAUGUUGGCUUAGAAGCAGCCAUCAUUUAAAGAAAGCGUAAUAGCUCACUGGUCGAGUCGGCCUGCGCGGAAGAUGUAACGGGGCUAAACCAUGCACCGAAGCUGCGGCAGCGACGCUGAUGCGUUGUUGGGUAGGGGAGCGUUCUGUAAGCCUGCGAAGGUGGCCUGUGAGGGUUGCUGGAGGUAUCAGAAGUGCGAAUGCUGACAUAAGUAACGAUAAAGCGGGUGAAAAGCCCGCUCGCCGGAAGACCAAGGGUUCCUGUCCAACGUUAAUCGGGGCAGGGUGAGUCGACCCCUAAGGCGAGGCCGAAAGGCGUAGUCGAUGGGAAACGGGUUAAUAUUCCCGUACUUGGUGUUACUGCGAAGGGGGGACGGAGAAGGCUAUGUUGGCCGGGCGACGGUUGUCCCGGUUUAAGCGUGUAGGUGUGUGUUCCAGGUAAAUCCGGUUCACUUUAACACUGAGGCGUGAUGACGAGGCACUACGGUGCUGAAGCAACAAAUGCCCUGCUUCCAGGAAAAGCCUCUAAGCAUCAGGUAACAUCAAAUCGUACCCCAAACCGACACAGGUGGUCAGGUAGAGAAUACCAAGGCGCUUGAGAGAACUCGGGUGAAGGAACUAGGCAAAAUGGUGCCGUAACUUCGGGAGAAGGCACGCUGACACGUAGGUGAAGUGAUUUACUCAUGGAGCUGAAGUCAGUCGAAGAUACCAGCUGGCUGCAACUGUUUAUUAAAAACACAGCACUGUGCAAACACGAAAGUGGACGUAUACGGUGUGACGCCUGCCCGGUGCCGGAAGGUUAAUUGAUGGGGUCAGCGCAAGCGAAGCUCCUGAUCGAAGCCCCGGUAAACGGCGGCCGUAACUAUAACGGUCCUAAGGUAGCGAAAUUCCUUGUCGGGUAAGUUCCGACCUGCACGAAUGGCGUAAUGAUGGCCAGGCUGUCUCCACCCGAGACUCAGUGAAAUUGAACUCGCUGUGAAGAUGCAGUGUACCCGCGGCAAGACGGAAAGACCCCGUGAACCUUUACUAUAGCUUGACACUGAACAUUGAGCCUUGAUGUGUAGGAUAGGUGGGAGGCUUUGAAGUGUGGACGCCAGUCUGCAUGGAGCCGACCUUGAAAUACCACCCUUUAAUGUUUGAUGUUCUAACGUGGACCCGUGAUCCGGGUUGCGGACAGUGUCUGGUGGGUAGUUUGACUGGGGCGGUCUCCUCCUAAAGAGUAACGGAGGAGCACGAAGGUUGGCUAAUCCUGGUCGGACAUCAGGAGGUUAGUGCAAUGGCAUAAGCCAGCUUGACUGCGAGCGUGACGGCGCGAGCAGGUGCGAAAGCAGGUCAUAGUGAUCCGGUGGUUCUGAAUGGAAGGGCCAUCGCUCAACGGAUAAAAGGUACUCCGGGGAUAACAGGCUGAUACCGCCCAAGAGUUCAUAUCGACGGCGGUGUUUGGCACCUCGAUGUCGGCUCAUCACAUCCUGGGGCUGAAGUAGGUCCCAAGGGUAUGGCUGUUCGCCAUUUAAAGUGGUACGCGAGCUGGGUUUAGAACGUCGUGAGACAGUUCGGUCCCUAUCUGCCGUGGGCGCUGGAGAACUGAGGGGGGCUGCUCCUAGU
rnacentral:rRNA from 1 species